rnacentral:rRNA from 1 species
AAAAUAGAUACUGGAAGGUUCUAUUUUCAAAAGUUCCGAUGCCUGAGGAUAGGACUGCGGUGGAUUAGGCUGUUGUGGGUAUAAAGGACCCACAAACCUAUAAUCCAUGCGGGCGUUGAGAGACGGAGCCCGGAGAUGCGUUCUGAGACAAGAAUGCAGGUCCUACGGGACGCAGCAGUCGCGAAAACUUUACAAUACCUGAAAGGGUGAUAAGGGAAUCCUGAGUGCUCCAGCAUUGCUGGAGCUUUUCUAGAGUGUAAAAAGCUUUGGGAAUAAGUGGUGGGUAAGACGGGUGCCAGCCGCCGCGGUAAUACCCGCGCCACGAGUGGUAAUCACGGUUAUUGGGUCUAGAGCGUUCGUAGCCGGCUUAGAAAAUUCUUGGUGAAAUUUCAUGUAAAACAUGGAAAGUGCCAGGAACACUUCUGGGCUAGGAACCGGGAAAGGCUAGGGGUACUCCGAGGGUAAGGGUUAAAUCUUGUAAUCCUUGGAGGACCACCUGUGGCGAAGGCGCCUAGCUGGAACGGCUUCGACGGUGAGGGACGAAAGCCUGGGUCGCAAACGGGAUUAGAUACCCCGGUAGUCCAGGCUGUAAACGAUGCCCGCUUGAUGUAUCGCUCCUUUCGAAGGGCCGAUGUGUCGUAGCGUAGGUGUUAAGCGGGCCACCUGGGGAGUACGGUCGC